rnacentral:rRNA from 1 species
UACGUAGGUGGCAAGCGUUGCUCGGAAUCACUGGGCGUAAAGGGCGCGUAGGCGGGAUGGCAAGUCAGUCGUGAAAUCUCUCGGCUCAACCGAGAAACGUCGGCUGAUACUGCCGUUCUUGAGGGAUGCAGAGGAGACUGGAAUUCCCGGUGUAGCGGUGAAAUGUGUAGAGAUCGGGAGGAACACCGGUGGCGAAGGCGGGUCUCUGGGCAUUUCCUGACGCUGAGGCGCGAAAGCGUGGGGAGCAAACGGG